UUACGACUAUUACUUUUAAAUCAAAGUUAUGGGUUUCCUAAUGGAUUCCAUAAUACAGAUUUCAAAGUUUACAGUAGUUUAACCAUACACAAACAUUGUAUCCUCCCCUCCUUUGUAAUCCAGCUGCUCUUUAUUUUCUUCUGCAGCCUCAUAUGGUUUAAACAUCUGGGCUUUCGGAGCCGUUCCAUGCCUGCUCGCCUUGUUAGAGGGUUUGGUGCUGGAGCCUCCGACUGAAUGCCAGAAUCCUUCCCUUUGUGCUCCUCAGUGACGUACACAAGAACUUUGAGGUGGUGUAAGAACAGAAGGAUUCGUGGCUAAUAAAUACUUCAUCUAAAUGGAAACUGAUGUAUGUUGCUCUCUGGAACCCCAUUGCCCCCAGUUCCCUCGUGGUUUUUCUACUGAAAAUCCUGUAUCCGUCUUCACCAAGCAUCCAGUGAAAGUCAAGACACUUGAGGACCAUUUAAGAGGAAUGGUGAAAAUCUGAAGUGCAGUGGAACAAGAUGGUGACUGCAGUAGGUGGAGGAUUUGUGGGAAGCUGCUGAAGAACUUCCACGUGAAAAAUGAAAGGAAGGUCCUAGUGUCAGCAUCAGUUGACACGGUUUCACAGCAAACAGCUUUUAAUAUCUUGUUUUGAAUAAAUUGAGGUAAGUUUGGUUCUUAAUGACA
rnacentral:lncRNA from 1 species